rnacentral:rRNA from 1 species
GAUGAACGCUGGCGGCGUGCCUAAUACAUGCAAGUCGAGCGAACGGACGAGAAGCUUGCUUCUCUGAUGUUAGCGGCGGACGGGUGAGUAACACGUGGAUAACCUACCUAUAAGACUGAGAUAACUUCGGGAAACCGGAGCUAAUACCGGAUAAUAUUUUGAACCGCAUGGUUCAAAAGUGAAAGACGGUCUUGCUGUCACUUAUAGAUGGAUCCGCGCUGCAUUAGCUAGUUGGUAAGGUAACGGCUUACCAAGGCAACGAUGCAUAGCCGACCGGAGAGGGUGAUCGGCCACACUGGAACUGAGACACGGUCCAGACUCCUACGGGAGGCAGCAGUAGGGAAUCUUCCGCAAUGGGCGAAAGCCUGACGGAGCAACGCCGCGUGAGUGAUGAAGGUCUUCGGAUCGUAAAACUCUGUUAUUAGGGAAGAACAUAUGUGUAAGUAACUGUGCACAUCUUGACGGUACCUAAUCAGAAAGCCACGGCUAACUACGUG